rnacentral:rRNA from 1 species
GACGAACCGUGCAAACGUUGUUCGGAAUCACUGGGCUUAAAGGGCGCGUAGGCGGCUUGCCAAGUCGGGGGUGAAAUCCAGCAGCUUAACUGUUGAAGUGCCUUCGAUACUGGCGAGCUAGAGGAAGGUAGGGGUGUGUGGAACUUCUGGUGGAGCGGUGAAAUGCGUUGAUAUCAGAAGGAACGCCGGUGGCGAAAGCGACGCACUGGACCUUUUCUGACGCUGAGGCGCGAAAGCUAGGGUAGCGAACGGG